ACGGAAGGCAGCAGUGGGGAAUAUUGGGCGAUGGGCGAAAGCCUGACCCAGCAACGCAGCGUGAAGGAUGAAGGUCUUCGGAUUGUAAACUUCUUUUAUGAGGGACGAAGGACGUGACGGUACCUCAUGAAUAAGCCACGGCUAACUACGUGCCAGCAGCCGCGGUAAUACGUAGGUGGCAAGCGUUAUCCGGAUUUACUGGGUGUAAAGGGCGCGUAGGCGGGAAGGCAAGUCAGGUGUGAAAUCUAUGGGCUUAACCCAUAAACUGCAUUUGAAACUGUCUUUCUUGAGUGCUGGAGAGGUAGACGGAAUUCCUUGUGUAGCGGUGAAAUGCGUAGAUAUAAGGAAGAACACCAGUGGCGAAGGCGGUCUACCGGACAGUAACUGACGCUGAGGCGCGAAAGCGUGGGGAGCAAACAGGAUUAGAUACCCUGGUA
rnacentral:rRNA from 1 species